AACGAACGCUGGCGGCGUGCUUAACACAUGCAAGUCGAACGCGAACGGGUUCUUCGGGACCUUAGUAGAGUGGCGCACGGGUGAGUAACGCGUAAGUUAUCUACCUCGGCAUCUGGAAUAACUCACCGAAAGGUGUGCUAAUACCGGAUACGUUGAGUAAUCAAGAAAGGUGGCCUCUCUUUGAUGCUACCGUGCUGAGAUGAGCUUGCGUACCAUUAGCUAGUUGGUGGGGUAAUGGCCUACCAAGGCGACGAUGGUUAGCGGGUCUGAGAGGAUGAUCCGCCACACUGGAACUGGAACACGGACCAGACUUCUACGGGAGGCAGCAGUGAGGAAUAUUGCGCAAUGGGGGCAACCCUGACGCAGCGACGCCGCGUGGAUGAUGAAGGCCUUCGGGUCGUAAAAUCCUGUCAGGUGGAAAGAAAUGCAUAUGUGCUAAUACCAUGUAUGCUUGACGGUACCACCGAAGGAAGCACCGGCUAACUCCGUGCCAGCCGCCGCGGUAA
rnacentral:rRNA from 1 species